rnacentral:rRNA from 1 species
ACUCAAAGGAAUUGACGGGGGCCCGCACAAGUGGUGGAGCAUGUGGUUUAAUUCGAUGAUACGCGAGGAACCUUACCUAGGCUAGAAUGCGCGUGACCGGCUCAGAGAUGAGCUUUUCCUUCGGGACACAAAGCAAGGUGCUGCAUGGCCGUCGUCAGCUCGUGCCGUGAGGUGUUGGGUUAAGUCCCGCAACGAGCGCAACCCCUAUGUUUAGUUGCCAGCAUGUAAUGAUGGGGACUCUAGACAGACUGCCUGCGCAAGCAGUGAGGAAGGCGGGGACGACGUCAGGUCAUCAUGGCCCUUACGCCUAGGGCGACACACGUGCUACAAUGGACGGUACAGCGGGUAGCUACUGGGCGACCAGAUGCCAAUCUCGAAAAGCCGUUCUCAGUUCGGAUCGGAGUCUGCAACUCGACUCCGUGAAGCUGGAAUCACUAGUAAUCGCGCAUCAGCCAUGGCGCGGUGAAUACGUUCCCGGGCCUUGUACACACCGCCCGU